UGGGGAAUAUUGGACAAUGGGCGAAAGCCUGAUCCAGCCAUGCCGCGUGAGUGAUGAAGGCCCUAGGGUUGUAAAGCUCUUUUGUGCGGGAAGAUAAUGACGGUACCGCAAGAAUAAGCCCCGGCUAACUUCGUGCCAGCAGCCGCGGUAAUACGAAGGGGGCUAGCGUUGCUCGGAAUCACUGGGCGUAAAGGGUGCGUAGGCGGGUUUCUAAGUCAGAGGUGAAAGUCUGGAGCUCAACUCCAGAACUGCCUUUGAUACUGGAAGUCUUGAGUUCGGGAGAGGUGAGCGGAACUGCGAGUGUAGAGGUGAAAUUCGUAGAUAUUCGCAAGAACACCAGUGGCGAAGGCGGCUCACUGGCCCGAUACUGACGCUGAGGCACGAAAGCGUGGGGAGCAAACA
rnacentral:rRNA from 1 species